GUCGGCCUGCGCGGAAGAUGUAACGGGGCUAAACCAUGCACCGAAGCUGCGGCAGCGACGCUGAUGCGUUGUUGGGUAGGGGAGCGUUCUGUAAGCCUGCGAAGGUGUGCUGUGAGGCAUGCUGGAGGUAUCAGAAGUGCGAAUGCUGACAUAAGUAACGAUAAAGCGGGUGAAAAGCCCGCUCGCCGGAAGACCAAGGGUUCCUGUCCAACGUUAAUCGGGGCAGGGUGAGUCGACCCCUAAGGCGAGGCCGAAAGGCGUAGUCGAUGGGAAACAGGUUAAUAUUCCUGUACUUGGUGUUACUGCGAAGGGGGGACGGAGAAGGCUAUGUUGGCCGGGCGACGGUUGUCCCGGUUUAAGCGUGUAGGCUGGUUUUCCAGGCAAAUCCGGAAAAUCAAGGCUGAGGCGUGAUGACGAGGCACUACGGUGCUGAAGCAACAAAUGCCCUGCUUCCAGGAAAAGCCUCUAAGCAUCAGGUAACAUCAAAUCGUACCCCAAACCGACACAGGUGGUCAGGUAGAGAAUACCAAGGCGCUUGAGAGAACUCGGGUGAAGGAACUAGGCAAAAUGGUGCCGUAACUUCGGGAGAAGGCACGCUGAUAUGUAGGUGAAG
rnacentral:rRNA from 1 species